CUAUUGUGAUGAGUAAAUCCUCUUGGUCCGUGUUUAUGAUCUAAAUGAUUCUGUCAAAGAGGUCUGAAUAU
rnacentral:snoRNA from 1 species